CUGAGGCUCGAUCCCGCCUUUGCAUAUGUCGAGCCUCCUUCCUCAUGACCUUUGCCACGGGCGGAGUGCCUCACGCUGGCCCCCAACACAGACCCACAGUCAGGGCUUUCUCGCGGGAGUCCUGUCUGUUCAGUGGGGUGUCGGGCCAGGCGAUUCUGAGCACACUGCCGAGGAAGCCCGGAGGCUGGGCCCCCUUCCACCACAGCGUGGGGUCAGCAGUACAGCGGGCAGGAGUGUGCGGGCUCGGGGGCCCUGCCACCCAGGCAGCCUCUCUCCUCCAUUUACGGCACUGCUCAGUCGAGGCAGGCCAGGGUCACCACUAGUGACUGAGUUCUGUGGAGUUAAGGACUUGCUCGGUAUUUUCACAGCUCUGUUCUGAGCGUCUAGAACAGGGCCUGACACGUACCUGGCGCUUGGUAACUGUUCAGUGACUGUAUCUGUGAAAUGAAGCUAACGGGGGUGCUCUCCUACAGGGCGAUGGGAUACUCGGGUCAUGUUCAUGAAAUGCUUAUUGCUGCAAGAACUGGGAGGGGUCUGAGAUUUUAGCUCCUUACAAGCUGACAAGUUGGUGGGUUUCCUGGGAGCUGGUGGAAGAUUUCAGAGUCUCAGGUCAGAGACAGGAGGCCUCACGACCUGCGGCAGUAGCGGCGGCCAGGGUGUCCCGUGUCCCUGCUGCCCUUCCGGACCCCCUGCUUUCAUGGGGCAAUAUGGACACAGAGGGAGAGGUCCGUGCGUGCGGGAAGGGAACCCCGAGCUUAGGGAACCUGAGUCUUUUGUGAUGGGUGGUAAGCAGGCUUUUUGUGGAGGGAAAUAGGUUUAUCUUCAAAGCAGUCACUGUCCAGACCUCCUUGAAAAGGCAGUUCAGGACGCAGGACAGUCGGUCCUCCUGCUUUAAGAUGUGCAGAAGCACGGAGGCCUGUGGAGCCUUGUUUCCCAGCAAAAAGCCCUGACUGGUGCUGUUGGCAAAGACUGGUCGUGAGGGGUUGGUGACGGUCACCUUCGGUUCUGUCCCAGACUGAGCAUAAGAGGCUUCUUCCUGCUGCCUUCAUCUAAUCCGUAUUCAAUCCUGUCUUCCCAGCUUUUGUUUCAAGACUCCUGGGUGUGUAUUUUGUGGUUUCUGGCACUUUCAUUACGAUUUGACUUAAUUUUGGUUACUUAUUAAUUUUAAGCUGUGUGUGUGUAUAUAUGUGUGUGCGCGCAUGCAUGUACUAAAUCAUGGCCCUUACUCUGCAGUAAUCCUUUCUGUGAUUUUUUUUUUUUUUGGAAGGGGUGUAGCUGAGCACGUCUGCUUCUCUCUUUCUCUCUCUCUCCUCCCGAUGUUCUUUUUCUCCCCUCCCCUUCCGGGCCUUCCCCGUUUCUUCCACAUUUUCGUAAAUGUGUCUGGCAGGUCGUGUGACACGGGCUGCUCUGGCUAGCCGCAGGGGCUCCACGUUGAACAGGCUAAAUUUCUCCUCCGUUCCCUGUUGGUCUUGUUUCUCGUAUUGUCAUUUGAAUCUGGCUGAGGGCUCAUUGCUCUAUUUUAUUAAGCUCAUGAGACCCUGGAAACCUUUGCAACAAUCUCGCACUUUACUCCUCAGGUUAGGAGUGCAGACUCAUGAGUGCGGGCUCGUGAACGCCGAGUCCCCUUCGCAGCCUGGGUUUGUCUCCUCAGGUUAGGAGUGCAGGCUCCUGGGCUCGGGCUCGUGAGCGCCUGAGUCCCUUCACAGCCUGGGUUUGUCUCCUCAGGUUAGGAGUGCAGGCUCCUGGGCUCGGGCUCGUGAGCGCCUGAGUCCCUUCACAGCCUGGGUUUGUCUCCUCAGGUUAGGAGUGCAGGCUCCUGGGCUCGGGCUCGUGAGCGCCGAGUCCCUUCACAGCCUGGGUUUGUCACUUGUGAUGCUGUCGUUCAGGUUGGUAGAUACUCACGGGUAGUGAUCUUUUCAGAUCAUUUAUUUACUUAUUUAAUUUGCCUGUGCUGGGUCUUCGCUCACGUGAGGGCAUUUCUCCUGCUGCAGCGAGCGGGCUCUGCUCUUGUGUUGUGGUGCACGGCUUCUCGUGGCGGGGGCUUCUCUUGUCGCGAGGCACGGGCUCCAGGUGCUUGGGCUUCAGUAGCUGUGGUGGUCAGGUUUAGUGGCCCCACGGCGUGUGGGGUCUUCCCGGACCAGGGAUGGAACCCCUGUUGCCCACAUUGGCAGGCGGAUUCUUAUCCACUGCACCACCAGGGAAGCCCACUGGUAGUAAUUUCUGUAAGUCUGAUGUGUACUGGUCUUUAGAGUUUUAAGUCUUCCAAAAAAGACAAAUGGCUGAGUCUCUACUGUAACUGUGCUUUUUUUUUUCUUUUUAAACACUUAGUUUAGACUAUGCAGUGACAAGGAUAAAGGACUUCAAGCAAGCUGGAAGUAACAAGGCCUUGUUAAAGUCACACCAAGCACAUGGGGUCCACCACGUCCGGUGACUCCGCGGCACGGCAUGUUCUGUCCAGGCAGAGAAUUGCUGUCCUUGACCUGGCUGCAUUCUCUCUGUGUGUCUGUCCCACUCUGGGUCUAUAUCUGGGCAUGCUGUUCUGCUGGAGGAGGGUGUGAGUUAAAGAUCCCAGGUCCUGGCAACUACUUUACGAAAGUAAAGGGGAAAGUAAGUUACUCUCAACGGCCUCAUCGAACUAUAAUUGUGAUCAUUGAGUUCUUGGUGCCUCUGUUUUCCCAGCAGAUGUAAAACUGGGUCCGCUUUUCUGGCGGGAGCCUGGGGGCCUGCCUGGUUGCUUCAAACUGUUCCAUGUCCUGUUGUAGACUGAGCUGUUGUUCCCUCUGAGGAAUUUUCAGCUGUUUUUUUUAAACACCUGGACUUCAGUUAGAACUACCUUGAUAGAAACGUGCCUGCCGCUGCUGCCAAGUCACUUCAGUCGUAUCCGACUCUGUGCGACCCCAUAGACGGCAGCCCACUCUUCUGUCUCUCCGAGGACCUUGCAGUUCCUGGCCUGUCCCCGACUUAGGUCUGGUGACCGUAGUGCUGCCUGUGCUUGACGAUAUCCUUGAUAUUGAGAAAGGAAAUGAUCUUUGGCUUUUCCUGUAGGAAGUUGAUGAUGGAUCUAAAGUGAAGUCUACAAAUUCUCUUUGAACCUCAGUAUCUUUUUCAAGCACUCUGUCUACUACUGAAACUCUAAGUAUUCACAAAAUGUGGUUCCUAAUCUCUUCAUGGUGUUUUGUCAAUAUAAUAUAUCCAGAUGGGAUUUAAAAUAUCAAUUAUUAUUUGUGUUCUCUUGUUGACUACAAAGACUCAGAAAUCCAUUAAAAGUACACUUUCUUCCUCUAAAUAUUCAGCAGUCAGGUUUCUUGAAUAAUUUCAGUCUUGCCUGCAGUGGUUGUAUUAAGUUUAUAUUUAGAAGCAGAGUCCUUAUUUGGCAUUGACUUUGCCCCAUUUUGGAAGUUUAUUUUAAAAGAAGCAGUUGAUGUGUUCUGGCUAGUAUUUGAAAAAUGUAACCGAUUCAUUCAGUUUCCAAAACAGCAAAGAGAAGAGAAAGAGCAUCGUAGAGUCUCAGCUUGUGGCCUGUGAACUAAAGUGUAGUUAGGGGUUUUUCCACCCAGCCUUCUCUCUCUGAACAGCGUACAAGCCCAGGGUGUCAGCUGUCUGACGCUGGGAGUGGACGAGGCCCUAAACCACGCCGUAUUGCUGGCCCUGCAUGUUGGGCUCACAUUUUGUCAGCAGCAAGGGACUCUCUGCUUCCCUCUAUUUCUUCUGCUUGAAGUGGAGCAGGACUCUGUGGUCCUGCCCCUCCGCAUGUCCUCCACCUGCCUUUUGUCCUUGGAAAAACUUUAGCCAAAGCAUAAGUUUAAUUAGAGAAAUGAGAGACUAUAGAAACAAAGGAAGACAGUCCAACAAGACUAAUAAUAGUUUAGUCAUUAAGCAAAGUCAAGGGCCUUUAGUUCCUCCUCGAGAGCUACAGGUGAUACCCUGAGCCACGUCCUGUGAGCUGUCUUAUAGAUACUGAAUCUCCUCCAGGUGGAGAAGUCAGCUGCAUGAAGCCCAGACUGUAGCCAGGACAAGAGCUGCCACAAUUCUGAGGAUGGGCCUCAAGGACAUGGGAACAAACUGACCCUGGAACUGAAGAUGAACUGUACGCAGAACAACCAAGAUGGUGCUGGUCAGACCAGCUCCGCGUGAUAAAUCUCUUUGCUCACACUCUGCGUGGCGUCCAGCUGGCCCUGCUUCCCCAGGGCACUCUGGUUGGGACAGGGCGUCCAGGGCGUUCAAGCUCUCCUGACACGAGAACCCAGCCGCAGGUGGCUGGUUGGGCGUCUGAGUCUUCAUUGGUGAUUCCUCUCUCCCUGAGAUGUCAGAUGUCAGAUGCUUUUUCAAGUUUCGUCUGAGAUGGCAGAUGACAUGGCUUUCCGCCCCUGCCUUGGAGGUUUCUCUAGUGCCUGCUCCCUGCUGGGACAGUUUCUCCCUGUCCUCUGAGCCACACCCGUGCCAUCGUUCAGAGUCACCAGCCACGGCUCCAGGGCGCGCUAUCCGUCCAGAGCAGACAUCCUCGGUGCCCCCCCAGUCUCCCGUGGGCGUCACAUCAGCUGUCGUGCCAGCGGAGGGCCAGAAAAAUCAGAGCUUUUUCUCAGUUGACGGGCUGUUGCUUCCUAACCUUUAUCCUUAGAUGGUCACAGAGCAGGUGGGGUGGUGGAGAAGGGUGACUGCAGGCAUGCAGAGGGGGCGGGAUGGAGGGAGACUGCAGGCGCCCAGCACCCGGGGGCCAGGUGGGGCUCCGUGCCCUGGGGAAGCCAUGUGAGGCGGGAGGAGCGGGGGGUCGUGCACACUGUCUCCUCAGCCCAGGGCCCUGCUUUAGACACAACUGACCCAGUAGGUCUCAAAUCUGGCCAUGCCACAGAGCUCCAGGAAGGGUUUGUGUGUGUGCGUGUGUGUGUGAGAUAGAGAGACAUAAAAACCUAGUAACUUUGAUUCUGUCAGUUGCACCAGGAAUAAUUUUACUAGCAAAAAAUGUAACUAUUUUAGAAGUAUGAAGUUUAACAUUCCAACCUGGAAGCACAAAAAACAAAUCUCUCUUCUGUUGGGUAGUCAGUUUCUGCUUGCUCAUUCAGACACAUGGUUCCCAGCCCCAGAGGCCUAAGAAAAGCUUGAUGGGAAAGAACUGUGUGCACAGAUGUCCAUUAUUUGAUGUUAGCUGCAGAAAACCACAGUCUUAAUUUGCGGAGCACUGGUGUUCCAUGGGAGGGGAAUUUGAGAACCACUGAACUUGUCUGAUCAGUUCACCAGAGCGAAACCUGGCUGCCGUGCCCCGCGUCUUACUCAAGAUUUCAAGGUCACGUAGCGGCAGGCAGAACCAGGACUGGAGCUCAGACGCCCACGCUGUCAGCUGUGCGUCCCAGUUUCAGACGAUGGGCUGCGUUUCUUUAAUAGGUGCUAGAAUAUGUAUCCUGGUGUGGUUCUGGGGCCAAUGUGGUCUCGAGAGGUUUUUCCUCUGAGAGCAGUGACCUUAUCAGGCACAGACAAUUUCCUGCGUCAUUACGAUGCUCCUUGGCAGAACGUUAUUUUUCUUGGUGACUGUGUCGUGGUGCAGGACGCGCAGGCAGAGCCAGCCCUCUGUUUUCCCGAGGGAAAACACCCUGAACAGUUGUCCCAGGACAUCUGUGUUCCAGUCUUACCAGACCCUAGGAGGUGUUUUCUUCCUGACAUGGGAGAAACUGCGGGUUGCCGUUCGGUGGAAAGAAAAUAAACAGGAACAUCUUCAGUGUGGAAAUGAGAAAGCGCCCCUGCUGAGAGAUGAAGUGACGUUUGCUCUUAAAUGCAUUUUUUAUGCUCAUUUUCGAAUCAUAGUCUCUGCUCCUUACCUGACUUUAAGGAAAGAAAUUUUGUUUGUCACAUUGUGAAAUUUAACUUUUUUUUAUUAUGAAAAAAAAAAGUUAUCAAUACAAUCUUAUUUUAAUGGUUAUCAGAGAUGUGUUUUAAGAACAUAUUUUUAAAAACCAAAGACUUUUUAGUUUACUGUGAAAAUCAGUAUUGGUUGUGUGCCCAAUUCUUAUUAGUUUACUAGUUUAUUUCAUGGUUUAUUUGAUGAGCAUUUGCCAUGGGAUAAUACUUCGAGGCAUGGUGUGCUCCCUUCUAGGACUUAGAAUUUCUUAAUAAAAAAAAAUCAAUA